rnacentral:ncRNA from 13 species
GCUAGAUCCGCCCCUGAUGGUUCCCCCACAGGGAGAAUAGGGAAGACGGUGCGCCUGAUGGCAAUUCCGUCGCUGCCCCCGCAACUGUAGGUGGUCGAAUCCGGCCCGGUGCCUGCACCGGUCCCGCCACUGGUCCCGUAGGGGCCGGGAAGGCCGCCGGAUAAUGAGGGUGUGGCCCGCCACGCCCUUCGCCACAAGCCAGGAGACCUGCCAUCCCCGCCCGUGCGGGA